CCAAAUGACCGCAUUAUACUAGGCACAGUACACACACACACACACACACAUGACUUUGAGACAAGAUGUAAUUGCAAGUAUGACAAUCAAAAGCAAGAGAGGAAGGACAAGGGUAACUAUCACAGCAACCUGUUCGGGCUGAUGGCACACGGGUUGGAAAACGUCCUCAGAACCCCUGCCAUUGCUGCAAGAGAAGGCUGGCCUGUAGCUGGAUGGUGAGGAAGUCUCUCCUUUAGGAGCUUCUUGCAGACAUAAGCCGCCAUACCAGAAUGGACUGCAGACUUUCUGCUCUUUGUCAUAAUACCACUUCAGAUCGUAAUCUUGACACUCUCCUCCAUCAUGAUCCACUGCACAAGCAUCUAAAAAAGCCUAUUGCAUAAUAUAAAGAAAAUCUGCAAUGAAAUACACACAGCUAGAUGGAAAGUGAAAGGUUAUCAUUGGCAGGGUAUGAUGAGCCUCUGUUUGGAUGGGGACAUACCUGAUGGAUGACUCAGUCCCUUGUGCAAGAAC
rnacentral:lncRNA from 1 species